AUGAAACAACUUUCAAGAAAAGAAAAACCAAAAAGGAUGACACAGACAGUGAAGUGCGACUACAAAGUCCUGAGAACUGACCCAGCCUGGGGCCGCGCGGACUCUCUCCUCUGGCUGGCCAUUCUUUGUAGAGACGUGCAAGUUCAGGACGGGCUCUUCUCUCCAGGGCUACACACGCAGUCACUUAAGAAAGCUGCGGGCCACGCCGACUUGGCAGCUCCUGCUCUGCCAGUAUUAUUGUUCAUCAUCUUCCCGUGUCUUCUGAGGUGUUUAGGACACCGGCAGAAAAUACCAAGGAAACCAGAUUGCCGUCUCUGCCCAGUCACGAAGACAAAUAAGAGACGGCUGGCCACAGCUUCUCUUUUACACCUCCUUCUUGUUGAGAUGCCCGUUGCCAGUGGACGCGACACUGACCAUUCAUCUCCUACAGCGGAGCCAAGUGUUUGCCGCUGAGGCAGCAGAAACUGAUGACUGGUCUACAAUCCUCCGCCAUGUUGGACAGUGCAAGGCAGCAAAGGCGCCCAGUCAUGCUCAGGGGGAUUCUAACUUCAGUGUGCCGAGAAGUAAAGCUAAGGAGGAAGGCUGGUCCCUAAGGAAAAUGCAGUCCAGCGGGAGAAAGUGGAGGAGCGUGUCUAAAGUCCUGUUGCUCCCCUGUGUGGCUAAGGUCUCACGUGAACCGAUGAAAAGCACCAUUUCCCAUAAAUUAUAAAGUGAUGUAGGUUCAGCAAAGCACAUUUCAAAAUGUUUACCGAAGGGACGGCCUGCUACAUACUCAAUGAGGGCCUUGCCUCUCCUGCUGUUUUAAAUGACUUUCCCCAGCCCAAAGACAAAGAAGAAAAUGAAGAAAAUUGGCUUCCUUUUUAAGAAGCCAAGAUCUGAACCCAACAGAGUUUCUUCUACCUUAUGAAGUUCUCUCCAAAGGGAUUUGGGAUCUGGGGUCAAUCGGAAGUUUUCUCCUGGGCGGGAAAUUAAACCGUAACUCCUCUUGGUACUUAUAAGUCCUUGUUGCCCCCUGGAAGAAUGACUUCACCCUCUCCCUUUCUUCCCAGCCCCUCACUCCCCACCAAUCCCUUAGACAGGACCCAAACCCACACCCACAUCCACAGAGUAAGUUAAUAAUUGAGACAUUCCAAAGAUAAUGAAAAAUUUCCCGACUUUGCAAAGCUGAGUCCCUACCAAAAAUCCUGGUGCAUGUGGGAUUAGGGAUCUGAAGUUGACUGAAAGUUACCUCAUCAGCCUCAACUGGGUGAAAACCCUUCCCUGAAUCCUUUAUUGAAUAAAACCAUCCGGCUGGGAUCCA
rnacentral:lncRNA from 1 species